UUUAUUUUUAUUUUUAGCUGAAAAGACAUAAAGGCAGUCAGCCCAGUGUUGUUUCUGGAGAGGGAUUCCUUCAGAAAUGGAGAAGACAGAAAGCUGCGGAGGCAGAUAUAUGCAGCAGUCUAAAAUAUCAAGCUCAACAACUCACUCAAGAGCCAACCCUCACAAACCUUCCUAAAAACUAAAAGAGCUAUUACUGAGUCUCAGCGAAUCUUGCCAUGAUCAGCUCUUCCCAGAAGAGAAGGAAGACCAAGGAAAUGAUUUGCUCAGGAUGAGGAAUGAAGAUGGCCAUCUUGUGCUCAAACAAACAGAAGUCCUCUGAUGAUCUCAUCAGCCAAAUGAGGGGUUUUGACCAAGUGAUGCUCUUGAAAGGAGUGAAAGAAGAGGAUGUGCUAAAUUCUCUUCAGAGAAAAAGCUUCUCAAAAGGUCUUAAAGCAGCUUGAAGAAUGGUCUGGGAUCUUAGGACUGAGAGAUCCUCUGGCUGAGGACAAGCUACACCACAUCAGUGCUGGAUAUCAGCCACAAACUGUUUCCAGACACGAGAGAAGAAGAACACGAUGGGGAGAUGAAACCAGUUUAGAUGUGAUGAUGGGAAUCAUUAUUUUCUGGAACAGUAUCUCAUGUCUUAUAUGUAUCACAUGAUCUGUAUCACAGUUGACUGGAUGGGACUGUGUGACUUUUAAGGACAUUUCAUCACUCAUCUGUGUGAACUGAUUUAUAUAUGAGGUUAAUGUAUUUUUGAUGAUAAUUAUUUUCAUUGAAUCUUAUUCGUCUUGAUGCUACUUUAUCAACUUUAUAGUCUAUGCUUCAAUAAAAUGAAAAUGGUGAA